GCCCAGACUCCUACGGGAGGCAGCAGUGGGGAAUAUUGCGCAAUGGGCGAAAGCCUGACGCAGCGACGCCGCGUGAGGGAUGAAGGUUCUCGGAUCGUAAACCUCUGUCAGAAGGGAAGAAAUUAUAUCAUGCUAAUCAGUGGUGUAUUGACGGUACCUUCAAAGGAAGCACCGGCUAACUCCGUGCCAGCAGCCGCGGUAAUACGGAGGAUGCGAGCGUUAUCCGGAUUUAUUGGGUUUAAAGGGUGCGCAGGCGGAAGAUCAAGUCAGCGGUAAAAUUGGGGGGCUCAACCUCGUCGAGCCGUUGAAACUGGUUUUCUUGAGUGAGUGAGAAGUAUGCGGAAUGCGUGGUGUAGCGGUGAAAUGCAUAGAUAUCACGCAGAACUCCGAUUGCGAAGGCAGCAUACCGGCGCUCAACUGACGCUCAUGCACGAAAGUCUGGGUAUCGAACAGGAUUAGAUACCCCAGUA
rnacentral:rRNA from 1 species